rnacentral:rRNA from 1 species
GACGGAGGAUGCAAGCGUUAUCCGGAUUCACUGGGUUUAAAGGGUGCGUAGGUGGGUUGGUAAGUCAGUGGUGAAAUCUCCAGGCUUAACUUGGAAACUGCCAUUGAUACUAUCAAUCUUGAAUACCGUGGAGGUCAGCGGAAUAUGUCAUGUAGCGGUGAAAUGCUUAGAUAUGACAUAGAACACCAAUUGCGAAGGCAGCUGGCUACACGAAUAUUGACACUGAUGCACGAAAGCGUGGGGAUCAAACAGG